UACGUAGGGGGCAAGCGUUAUCCGGAAUUACUGGGUGUAAAGGGAGCGUAGACGGUAAUGUAAGUCUGGAGUGAAAGGCGGGGGCCCAACCCCCGGAACUGCUUUGGAAACUGUGCAGCUCGAGUGCAGGAGAGGUAAGCGGAAUUCCUAGUGUAGCGGUGAAAUGCGUAGAUAUUAGGAGGAACACCAGUGGCGAAGGCGGCUUACUGGACUGUAACUGACGUUGAGGCGCGAAGGCGUGGGGAGCAAACAGG
rnacentral:rRNA from 1 species